GAUGAACGCUGGCGGCGUGCCUAAUACAUGCAAGUCGAGCGAACGGACGAGAAGCUUGCUUCUCUGAUGUUAGCGGCGGACGGGUGAGUAACACGUGGAUAACCUACCUAUAAGACUGGGAUAACUUCGGGAAACCGGAGCUAAUACCGGAUAAUAUUUUGAACCGCAUGGUUCAAAAGUGAAAGACGGUCUUGCUGUCACUUAUAGAUGGAUCCGCGCUGCAUUAGCUAGUUGGUAAGGUAACGGCUUACCAAGGCAACGAUGCAUAGCCGACCUGAGAGGGUGCGCGGCAACACGGGAAAGGAGACCGGCACCAGCCCCCAGGGGGGGGCAGCAGGGGGGAUUCUCCCGAAAGGGGCGAAGCCCGGAGGGACCAACGCCGGGGGAGGGAAGAGGUUUUUCGGAUCGAAAACCUUUUUUAUUGGGGAAAAAAAUUGGGGAAAUUAAUUGGGCAAAUUUUGAGGGUACCUAACCAGAAGGCCACGGUUAACUCGGUC
rnacentral:rRNA from 1 species